rnacentral:rRNA from 1 species
UUAAAAACAUGGCCUUUUGAUAAUAAUUUAAGKUYUGACCUGCCCAAUGAGUUUAUUAAAUGGCUGCGGUAAUUUGACCGUGCAAAGGUAGCAUAAUCAUUAGUUUUUUAAUUGGAAGCUUGUAUGAAAGGUUUGAUGAAAAAAUUUCUGUCUCUGGUUAAAUUAAUUAGAAAUUUAUUUUUAAGUAAAAAAGCUUAAAUAAUUAUAGAAGACGAGAAGACCCUAUAGAGUUUUAUAGUAAGAUAAGUUUGUAGUUUUAAGGAUUUUUAUAUAAAUUUAUAUGAAUAUUUAGUUGGGGUGAUUGAAAAAUUUAAAUAACUUUUUUUGUAUUUAUACAUUAAUUAAUGAGUAUUUGAUCCUUUUUUUUGAUUAGAAGAUUAAAUUACCUUAGGGAUAACAGCGUAAUUUUUUUUUAGAGAUCUAAUCGAAAAAAAAGAUUGCGACCUCGAUGUUGGAUUAAAAUAUAGGAUUGGUGUAGGAGCUAAUCUUUUAGGUCUGUUCGACCUUUAAAAUUUUACAUGAUCUGAGUUUAAACCGGUGUAAGCC